rnacentral:rRNA from 1 species
AAACGGACGCUAAUACCGCAUACGUCCUACGGGAGAAAGCAGGGGACCUUCGGGCCUUGCGCUAUCAGAUGAGCCUAGGUCGGAUUAGCUAGUUGGUGAGGUAAUGGCUCACCAAGGCGACGAUCCGUAACUGGUCUGAGAGGAUGAUCAGUCACACUGGAACUGAGACAGGGUCCAGACUAAUACGGGAGGCAGCAGUGGGGAAUAUUGGACAAUGGGCGAAAGCCUGAUCCAGCCAUGCCGCGAAUGUGAAGAAGGUCUUCGGAUUGUAAAGCACUUUAAGUUGGGAGGAAGGGCAGUAACCUAAUACGUUAUUGUUUUGACGUUACCGACAGAAUAAGCACCGGCUAACUCUGUGCCAGCAGCCGCGGUAAUACAGAGGGUGCAAGCGUUAAUCGGAAUUACUGGGCGUAAAGCGCGCGUAGGUGGUUUGUUAAGUUGAAUGUGAAAUCCCCGGGCUCAACCUGGGAACUGCAUCCAAAACUGGCAAGCUAGAGUAGGGCAGAGGGUGGUGGAAUUUCCUGUGUAGCGGUGAAAUGCGUAGAUAUAGGAAGGAACACCAGUGGCGAAGGCGACCACCUGGGCUCAUACUGACACUGAGGUGCGAAAGCGUGGGGAGCAACAGGAUUAGAUACCCUGGUAGUCCACGCCGUAAACGAUGUCAACUAGCCGUUGGAAUCCUUGAGAUUUAGUGGCCAGCUAACGCAUUAAGUUGACCGCCUGGGAGUACGGCCGCAAGGUUAAACUCAAAUGAAUUGACGGGGCCCGCACAACGGUGGAGCAUGUGGUUAAUUCGAACA